UGGGGAAUAUUGGACAAUGGGCGAAAGCCUGAUCCAGCCAUGCCGCGUGUGUGAAGAAGGCCUUAUGGUUGUAAAGCACUCUAAGCGAGGAGGAGGGUACUGGUAUUAAUACUACCAGGUACUGGACGUUACUCGCAGAAUAAGCACCGGCUAACUCUGUGCCAGCAGCCGCGGUAAUACAGAGGGUGCGAGCGUUAAUCGGAUUUACUGGGCGUAAAGCGUGCGUAGGCGGCUAAUUGAGUCGGAUGUGAAAUCCCCGAGCUUAACUUGGGAAUGGCAUUCGAUACUGGUUAGCUAGAGUGGGGGAGAGGAGGGUAGAAUUCCAGGUGUAGCGGAGAAAUGCGUAGAGAUCUGGAGGAAUACCGAUGGCGAAGGCAGCCAACUGGCCUAACACUGACGCUGAGGUACGAAAGCAUGGGGAGCAAACAGG
rnacentral:rRNA from 1 species